rnacentral:rRNA from 1 species
AGCGAACGCUGGCGGCAGGCUUAACACAUGCAAGUCGAGCGGGCGUAGCAAUACGUCAGCGGCAGACGGGUGAGUAACGCGUGGGAACGUACCUUUUGGUUCGGAACAACCCAGGGAAACUUGGGCUAAUACCGGAUAAGCCCUUACGGGGAAAGAUUUAUCGCCGAAAGAUCGGCCCGCGUCUGAUUAGCUAGUUGGUGAGGUAACGGCUCACCAAGGCGACGAUCAGUAGCUGGUCUGAGAGGAUGAUCAGCCACAUUGGGACUGAGACACGGCCAAACUCCUACGGGAGGCAGCAGUGGGGAAUAUUGGACAAUGGGCGCAAGCCUGAUCCAGCCAUGCCGCGUGAGUGAUGAAGGCCCUAGGGUUGUAAAGCUCUUUUGUGCGGGAAGAUAAUGACGGUACCGCAAGAAUAAGCCCCGGCUAACUUCGUGCCAGCC